rnacentral:rRNA from 1 species
GAUGAACGCUAGCUACAGGCUUAACACAUGCAAGUCGAGGGGCAGCAUAUUGAUAGCUUGCUAUUGUUGAUGGCGACCGGCGCACGGGUGAGUAACGCGUAUCCAACCCUCCCGUUGCUAGGGGAUAACCUUGCGAAAGUAAGACUAAUACCCUAUGAAGUUCUUCGCAGGCAUCUAAAGAGAACGAAAGAUUUAUCGGCAACGGAUGGGGAUGCGUCUGAUUAGGUUGUUGGCGGGGUAACGGCCCACCAAGCCCACGAUCAGUAGGGGUUCUGAGAGGAAGGUCCCCCACAUUGGAACUGAGACACGGUCCAAACUCCUACGGGAGGCAGCAGUGAGGAAUAUUGGUCAAUGGACGGAAGUCUGAACCAGCCAAGUAGCGUGCAGGACGACGGCCCUAUGGGUUGUAAACUGCUUUUAUGUGGGAAUAAAGUGAGGGACGUGUCCCUUUUUGUAGGUACCACAUGAAUAAGGACCGGCUAAUUCCGUG